rnacentral:rRNA from 1 species
CAGGCCUAACACAUGCAAGUCGAGGGUAACGGGGAGCUUGCUCCGCCGACGACCGGCGCACGGGUGCGUAACGGUAUACAAUCUGCCUUUUGCUGCGGGAUAGCCCAGAGAAAUUUGGAUUACACCGCAUAGUAUGUUGACUUCGCAUGGAGACAACAUUAAAGGUUACGGAAAAGAUGAGUAUGCGUUCUAUUAGCUGGAUGGUGCGGUAACGGCGCACAUGGCAACGAUAGAUAGGGGCCCUGAGAGGGGGAUCCCCCACACUGGUAUGAGACACGGACCAGACUCCUACGGGAGGCAGCAGUGAGGAAUAUUGGAAAUGGGCGAGAGCCUGAUCCAGCCAUGCCGCGUGCAGGAAGACUGCCCUUGGGUUGUAAACUGCUUUUAUACGGGAAGAAACACCCCCUCGCGAAGGGGCUUGACGGUACCGUAAGAAUAAGGAUCGGCUACCUCCGUGCCAGCAGCGCGGUAAU